UACGAAGGGUGCAAGCGUUAAUCGGAAUUACUGGGCGUAAAGCGUGCGUAGGCGGUUUGUUAAGUCUGCUGUGAAAUCCCCGGGCUCAACCUGGGAAUGGCAGUGGAUACUGGCAAGCUAGAGUGUGUCAGAGGAUGGUGGAAUUCCCGGUGUAGCGGUGAAAUGCGUAGAGAUCGGGAGGAACAUCAGUGGCGAAGGCGGCCAUCUGGGACGGUACUGACGCUGAGACGCGAAAGCGUGGGGAGCAAACAGG
rnacentral:rRNA from 1 species